rnacentral:rRNA from 1 species
GAUGAACGCUGGCGGCGUGCCUAAUACAUGCAAGUCGAGCGAACGGACGCGAAGCUUGCUUCUCUGAUGUUAGCGGCGGACGGGUGUGUAACACGUGGAUAACCUACUUAUAUGACUGGGAUAACUUCGGGAAACCGGCUCUUAUACCGUAUAAUCUUUUGAACCGCAUGGUUCAAAAGUGAAAGACGGUCUUGCUGUCACUUAUAGCUGCAUCCGCGCUGCAUUAGCUAGUUGGUAAGGUAACGGCCUAUCAAGGCGACGAUGCCUAGCCGACCUGAGAGGGUGAUCGGCGACACUGGAGCGGAGACGCGGACCAGACGCCUAAGGGAGGCAGCAGUAGGGAAUCUUACGCAAUGGGCGAAAGCAUGACGGAGCAACGCCGCGUGAGAGAUGAAGGUCUUCGGAUCGUAAAACUCUGUUAUUAGGGAAGAACAUAUGUGUAAGUAACUGUACACAUCUUGACGGUACCUAAUCAGAAAGCAACGGCUAACUACGUG